rnacentral:piRNA from 1 species
UUCACAGAAUUCAUGGACUCCCAAGACAUU